GAUGAAGAACGCAGCAAAGUGCGAUAACUAGUGUGAAUUGCAUAUUCAGUGAAUCAUCGAGUCUUUGAACGCAACUUGCGCUCAAUGGUAUUCCAUUGAGCACGCCUGUUUCAGUAUCAAAAACACCCCACAUUCAUAAUUUUGUUGUGAAUGGAAAUGAGAGUUUCGGCUUUAUUGCUGAAUUCUUUAAAAUUAUUGGGCCUGAACUAUUGUUCUUUCUGCCUGAACAUUUUUUUAAUAUAAAGGAAUGCUCUAGUAAAAAGACUAUCUCUGGGGCCUCCCAAAUAAAUCAUUCUUAAAUUUGAUCUGAAAUCAGGCGGGAUUACCCGCUGAACUUAAGCAUAUCAAUAAGCGGAGGA
rnacentral:misc_RNA from 1 species